rnacentral:rRNA from 1 species
UACGUAGGGUGCAAGCGUUAAUCGGAAUUACUGGGCGUAAAGCGUGCGCAGGCGGUUUUGUAAGACUGUCGUGAAAUCCCCGGGCUUAACCUGGGAAUGGCGAUGGUGACUGCAAGGCUAGAGUUUGGGAGAGGGAUGCGGAAUUCCAGGUGUAGCGGUGAAAUGCGUAGAUAUCAGGAGGAACACCGAUGGCGAAGGCAGGUCUCUGGGCUGACACUGACGCUCAUGCACGAAAGCGUGGGGAGCAAACAGG